UACGGGGGGGGCAAGCGUUGUUCGGAAUUACUGGGCGUAAAGGGCUCGUAGGCGGCCAACUAAGUCAGACGUGAAAUCCCUCGGCUUAACCGGGGAACUGCAUCUGAUACUGGAUGGCUUGAGUCCGGGAGAGGGAUGCGGAAUUCCAGGUGUGGCGGUGAAAUGCGUAGAUAUCUGGAGGAACACCGGUGGCGAAGGCGGCAUCCUGGACCGGCAUUGACGCUGAGGAGCGAAAGCCAGGGGAGCAAACGGG
rnacentral:rRNA from 1 species